CAACAAGGGCAGUUUAAGCCUCAGCUCAAUAUUUUAAGGUAUAUAAGUAUGAUCAAUUGCUUAGUUUGCUACAUUUAUUUUAGUUGUUUACAGGUAUAUAUCUUAAAUAAACUCAAUGCAGCACCGAAAUAUUUAUUCCUUAAGCCAUGAUAUCCAUAGGCAACUCACCUCUUGUUUGUAAUGACGGUAGUACACUGAGCCCGUGUUUUGAGCAACAAUGUCGGUAAAGAUCAUUUGAGUUACGAGAUUGAUGGUGCCCAGGUAAUGUAAAAGGAGUCAAGCGAAUGAAGAUGCUGCUGGGGAAGGAAGGAAAGUAGGGCUUCCUUUCCGGACUAGAGAAGGUCAAACUCUGGGCGGGCUGUCAGGUUUUACCUAUGCAAUGGUUUCACCAGAUGUUUGGAGCCACAAACGCACAGAUACUAUUGUGAUUUCUUCAUUGAAGCACAAUUGGCCCGCUGGAGCCUGAUAAUAACGUUCAUUGUUUAUAGUGUAUCUCUGGAUUUUCUUUCAUUGGCAAUUCAUUGGAUUAGGUUAGAGGACUCUGUUGUUUCAUUAGUAUGGCAUGUUAAUUACAUUUCACUAUGCAGAAUCAUUUUUGCAAUGUCAAGUAGCCUAGCUUUUUUGCUUAAAAGUCAUAAUAUACAUUUAACCUUCAAGGACCAGGAAAAUUUUAUGCAUCAGAGAGCCAA
rnacentral:lncRNA from 1 species